rnacentral:rRNA from 1 species
AUUGAACGCUGGCGGCAGGCCUAACACAUGCAAGUCGAGCGGAACGGCGGACGGGUGCGGCAUGCCUAGGAAUCUGCCUGGUAGUGUGGGAUAACGUCCGGAAACGGGCGCUAAUCCCGCAUACUAUUAGCUGAGCCUAGGUCGGAUUAGCUAGUUGGUGGGGUAAAGGCAUACCAAGGCGACGUUCCGUACCUGGUCUGAGAGGAUGAGCAGUCACACUGGAACUGGGACACGGUCAAGACGCCGCGGGGAGGAAGCACUGGGGAAUAUUGGCCAAUGGGCGAAAGCCUGAGCCAGCCAUGCGGCGUGUGUGAAGAAGGUCUUCGGUUUGGAAAGCACUUUAAGUUGGGAGGCGUUACCGACAGAAUAAGCACCGGCUAACUUCGUGCCAGCCGCCGCGGUAAUUC